UACGGGAGGCAGCAGUGGGGAAUAUUGCACAAUGGGCGCAAGCCUGAUGCAGCCAUGCCGCGUGUAUGAAGAAGGCCUUCGGGUUGUAAAGUACUUUCAGCGGGGAGGAAGGCGAUGUGGUUAAUAACCGCAUCGAUUGACGUUACCCGCAGAAGAAGCACCGGCUAACUCCGUGCCAGCAGCCGCGGUAAUACGGAGGGUGCAAGCGUUAAUCGGAAUUACUGGGCGUAAAGCGCACGCAGGCGGUCUGUCAAGUCGGAUGUGAAAUCCCCGGGCUUAACCUGGGAACUGCAUUCGAAACUGGCAGGCUAGAGUCUUGUAGAGGGGGUAGAAUUCCAGGUGUAGCGGUGAAAUGCGUAGAGAUCUGGAGGAAUACCGGUGGCGAAGGCGGCCCCUGGACAAAGCUGACGCUCAGGUGCGAAAGCGUGGGGAGCAAACAGGAUUAGAUAACC
rnacentral:rRNA from 1 species